rnacentral:rRNA from 1 species
GACGAACGCUUUCUUCUUUCUUAACACAUGCAAGUCGAACGGAAAGGCCCUGCUUUUGUGGGGUGCUCGAGUGGCGAACGGGUGAGUAACACGUGAGUAACCUGCCCUUGACUUUGGGAUAACUUCAGGAAACUGGGGAUAAUACCGGAUAGGAGCUCCUGCUGCAUGGUGGGGGUUGGAAAGUUUCGGCGGUUGGGGAUGGACUCGCGGCUUAGCAGCUUGUUGGUGGGGUAGUGGCUUACCAAGGCUUUGCCGGGUAGCCGGCCUGAGAGGGUGACCGGCCACAUGGGGACUGAGAGACGGCCCAGACUCCUAUGGGAGGCAGCAGUGGGGAAUAUUGCACAAUGGGCGGAAGCCUGAUGCAGCAACGCCGCGUGCGGGAUGACGGCCUUCGGGUGGUAAACCGCUUUCGCCUGUGACGAAGCGGGAGUGACGGUAAUGGGUAAAGAAGCACCGGCUAACUACGUG